UGUCACUUCAUAUAUGUUUGUCAACUGUUUGUCAAUUGUCCCUAAUGUUUUAAUAAUCUUAAAUGUCAUGAAAAUUAAAAGAUAAACCAUAAUUAAUGUUUUAAAUCGUUUUUUCUAUUAAUGUACAUAGAAAAAGCAAGUAACGAACUGUUAUUUCUAUUAAAUGAAUUAUGGAAACGGGUAAUAAACGUUCUCCAACGAGAUGUCGAGAAUGGGAGCGUCAAAGACGUUACAAAUUCAACGAUGCCCUUACAAAACUCGGGGAAAUAGUAAUAUCUAUAAACAAAGCCAGGGAUUUAAUUGAAGUGAAAAUGUGCAAUAUCCAAAAGUUGAAAUAGUGCAAAAAGCUAUCCUAUGCCUCACCGACUGCACACAUGAACAAACACAACUAAAAGCUGAAAUUUUAGCUUUGCAAGUGGAACUUGAAAGUGUCAAACAUAAAAAACAAUACAAAGAUGCAUCACAUCAAGUUUAUAUUGAAGUAAAUAAACAGGAGACAGAGACACAAGUAGCUGUAAGCACAAAAGAUGCCUCAAUUCAAGUGUCAUCGGAGCUAUUAGGAGAACUAAAAAUGGAAAGCAUAUGAAGAUGAAAAUUCUGCAGAAAACAAAACAAAAUGCUCUAAAGGAGAAACUGGUAGUCAGUAAUGUUGAAACAAAUGUGCAAAAUCCAAAAAUAGCUAUAAAGGAACCAAAAAUAUAUCCAAGAAUAAGCUUAGGAAAUGAAAAAGCCCCAGAAAACACCAUUGUUGUGCUUCCCGCUGCACCAUAUAUAUUCCCUCAAAGGCCUUUAUUGAUCCCUCAAUGCCACCUACCAUAGUA